rnacentral:misc_RNA from 1 species
AACGCACCUUGCGCUCCUUGGUAUUCCGAGGAGCAUGCCUGUUUGAGUGUCAUUAAUAUAAACUCAACCCUUCUGUUGUUGAAGGGUUUGGAUGUGGGGGUUUUGCUGGCCUUCUCAAAGAGGUUCAGCUCCCCUGAAAUGCAUUAGCAGAACGACCUUGCUCAUUGGUGUGAUAACUAUCUACGCUUAUGACUGUGAGGGGCAGUUCAGCUUUCUAACAGUCCAUGGACAAUUCAUCAUUAAUGUGACCUCAAAUCAGGUAGGACUACCCGCUGAACUUAA